rnacentral:rRNA from 1 species
CCUACGGGAGGCAGCAGUGAGGAAUAUUGGUCAAUGGACGAGAGUCUGAACCAGCCAAGUAGCGUGAAGGAUGACUGCCCUAUGGGUUGUAAACUUCUUUUAUAUGGGAAUAAAACGUUCCACGUGUGGGAUUUUGUAUGUACCAUAUGAAUAAGGAUCGGCUAACUCCGUGCCAGCAGCCGCGGUAAUACGGAGGAUCCGAGCGUUAUCCGGAUUUAUUGGGUUUAAAGUGAGCGUAGGUGGGUUGUUAAGUCAGUUGUGAAAGUUUGCGGCUCAACCGUAAAAUUGCAGUUGAAACUGGCAGUCUUGAGUACAGUAGAGGUGGGCGGAAUUCGUGGUGUAGCGGUGAAAUGCUUAGAUAUCACGAAGAACUCCGAUUGCGAAGGCAGUUCACUGGACUGCAACUGACACUGAGGCUCGAAAGUGUGGGUAUCAAACAGGAUUAGAUACCCCAGUAGUC